UCUGGUUGAUCCUGCCAGUAUUUAUAUGCUUGUCUCAAAGAUUAAGCCAUGCAUGUCUAAGUACAAACAAAUUAAAAGUGAAACCGCAAAAAGCUCAUUACAUCAGUUAUGGUUCCAUAGAUCGUUAACAGUUACUCGGAUAACUGUGGUAAUUCUAGAGCUAAUCGAGGUAAAAUAAGCACGGACCUUUUGGAACGUGUGCUUUUAUUAGGCUAAAACCAAGCGAUCAUUCGAUCGUUAUAUUGGUUGAACUCUAGAUAACUUGCAGAUCGGAUGGUCUCGUACCGACGACAGAUCUUUUAAAUGUCUGCCCUAUCAACUUUUGAUGGUAGUAUCUAUCACUACCAUGGUUGCAACGGAUAACGGGGAAUCAAGAUUCGAUUCCGGAGAGGGAACCUGAGAAAAGGCUACCACAUCUAAGAAAGGCAGCGGGCACGUAAAUGACCCACUCCCAGUUCGGGGAGGUAGUGACGAAAAAUAACAAUACAGGACUCAUAUUCGAUGCCCUGUAAUUGGAAUGAGUACACUUUGAAUCCUUUAACAAGGACCUAUUGGAGGGUAAGUCUGGUGCCAGCAGCUGCGGUAAUGCCAGCUCCAAUAGCGUAUAUUAAAGUUGUUGCGGUUAAAGCGUUCGUUGAAGUUUUGCCUCAUAUGAGUAGUACAACUAUAACUGUGGUAUGUACAUUACCUUAUGAAUGUAAGCGUAUUACCGGUGGAGUUCUUAUAUAUAAUUAAUAUAAUGUAUUUUUCCAAAAGUUUGGGUUCAAAACUACAAUUAAUUGAAAGAUGUUUUAAACUUUAAUUAUUAUAAAUAUAUAUAUACUUUUUUAAAAUUUAUUAUUGAUUAAUUUGUAUUCUUUCAAUAAAUUAAAAAUCCUUGACUUUGAAUCAAAAAAAUACAAAAAAUUAUUCCUCUAAGCAGUGGAUCACUCGGCUCAUAGGUCGAUAAAGAACGCAGCAAACUGUGCGUCAUCGUGUGAGCUGCAGGACACAUGAACAUCGACAUUUUGAACGCAUAUUGAGGUCCCUGCUGUUAUGUACAAUACUUUAAUUAACUUAAAAGUGCUGAUUGGACUAGAUUUCGUUUAGGGUUGUAAGACUAUGCUAAAUUAGUGGCUUAUUCUUUCGUCAAUUAACUUAAAUUCUGUUAAUUCCGGUUUUUUUAAAUGUUUAAAGGCUCAAGUUUUUCUGUUUUUCAAUUUAUGUAACUCUUUCGAAAACCUUGGACUUCUACUUUUAUUCAAAUUAAUUGGCUUUUAGCUUAUUAACAUAGAAUAAUUACUGAUGAUUUGAUAAAGUUUUGAGAGAUUUUAUUAUAUUAUAUAAUAUAUUGAUAAACUGUUGAGUAUCAAGUGCUUUGAAUAUCAUGAAAUUGAAACUGAACGAAUUCUAAGUAAUGGUGACAUUGAAAAGGUUUUAGUACAGGAUCAUUCAUAUAAAAGAGAA
rnacentral:rRNA from 1 species